GCGUCCUUAGCUCAGCUGGAUAGAGUACCUGGCUACGAACCAGGCGGUCGGAGGUUCGAAUCCCACAUGACGCCCCA
rnacentral:tRNA from 1 species